rnacentral:rRNA from 1 species
AACGAACGCUGGCGGCAUGGCUAAGACAUGCAAGUCGCACGGAACGCAGUAGCAAUAUUGCGUUUAGUGGCGGAAGGGUGAGUAAUGAAUGGGUAACGUACCUUGAACACGGGAAUAACAGCGGGCCGCAAGGCCCUUUGCGAAAGUGCUGCUAAUACCCGAUGAAGUGGCUGGCUCGCCUGAGCCGGUCACCAAAGCCGGGC